UUUCCAAUUUCUUUCCUCCUAAUAAAUAAGUUUCAUUUGCGUCAAAAAAAUAAAUAAAUUAUAUGAAACUGAACAUACCUUGAGCGGAUAAGCUAUCGAGUGAAUUACCACCGAGGUUCAAAGUUUUGAGAGCAGUUAAUCCAUUCAAACUUGACAAUAUGCUUAUAUUAUUUAGACCGUUGUAUGAAAGGUCUAAGGUCUCCAACUUUUGUAAUUUAGCAAAAUCUUCAAAAGAAGCAGAUGGUAAGAUAUGACAAUCGGAAAAAAAAUUUCCAAAAAAAAAAAUCGAAUGUUUUUUCCAAUUUCUUUCCUCCUAAUAAAUAAGUUUCAUUUGCGUCAAAAAAAUAAAUAAAUUAUAUGAAACUGAACAUACCUUGAGCGGAGAAGCUAUCGAGUGAAUUAGCACCGAGGUUCAAAGUUUUUAGAGCAGUUAAUCCAUUCAAACUUAACAAUAUGUUUGUAUUAUUUAGACGGUUGUAUGAAAGGUCUAAAGUCUCCAACUUUUGUAGUCUAGGAAAACCUUCAAAAGAAGCAGAUGGUAAGAUAUGACAAUCGGAAACUUUUUUUCCCAAAA
rnacentral:lncRNA from 1 species